UAUUAAGUCAUUAUGGCAGAGAUUUUAGGAACAGCAGGCAGUGUGAUUCAUGUAAAAAGUGUAAGAGCUACUCUGCAGCAGAGAAACGGUCCCUUUCAUACUUCUACAGGAAAUGUAUCAGCCCGCUAUGAGACAGGCAUCACUCCAGCUGGCUGGACCUUCUCCAUCUGGGGCGUUAUCUAUACCUGGCUCACCCUGAUGGUGAUUUAUAUCACUUCAUACACAUGCAGAGGAUCCUGGGCUCAGUGUCUGCUGCCCUACGGCUUCUAUAUUUGCUGGCUCUCCAACAUGGUGCUGAACAUAAUCUGGCUCCUGCUGUGGGACGCAGAGAUGACGCUGGCGUCUUUGGUCGUUUUAAUCCUGAUAGCGGUUUCCGGCUACAGCGCUCUGUUCUUCUGUUGCUUUGCCACAGAUUACUACGGACUCUGGUUACAGACGUACCAUCGCAAAGACCUGACCUUUCUCAGAGUACUGGUCCAAAAUGGUUUGGCUCUCUACACUACAUGGACUUCUAUCGCCUCUCUGAUCAAUUUCUCUGUAGUUCUCCACCUGUGGGGUGUGGAUAAGAGCACGGCAGCAACUGCGUCACUGUGCAUCCUGUUUGCAGAGGUGGUGGCAUGGUUCAUUCUGGAGAACUGGGUGCUGGACCGCUGGGUGCGCAACAUCCUCACAAUCUACCCGGUGGUGAUUGUGGCUCUGGUCGGAAACGUCUACAAGCACUUCAACCCAGCUGAUCCCACUCCAAACGCCAUCUUUAUGGUUGUGCUGUUGGUCCUGGCGUGCAUCCUUUUCGUGUCCAGAUUCUUCACGGUGCUCUGGAGGAACAAGUGGCGCCCUCUGCACUCCCCGGGCUCAGCACGGCUGAUGGUGUCACCCCUCGACGGCAGGACGUUCAGAGUCCUUUCUUAAACAAAACUCGUGCCUCUCCAGACCCACUGAGUUACAUGUUCACACCACCUCCACAGUCAUGUUUGAAGGUAGAUCUAAAUGUUAAACAGAGUUUAUCUGUCAGCAUGGGGAACAAAUGUAUUUCUUCAGUGGAAGAAAGAGUCUGCACGGGAAGGCAGGAAACCCACAAAUCUUUUCUAUCUGCUCUUCAGCUGUACUGAAGAAAAUAGAAAUACCUUCUUUAAAAUACUUUAAAUUCUUUUAAAAACUACUACAACUAUUUAAUACACUGCUUAAUUUUAUCUUAAUGUACUUUAUUCAUGUAUUUCAGUGUUUCCCACUCACACACUUUAGUUUGCAGGUUUAUUAGUGGCUCCCGCAGCUCAUUUUUGAUUUCUGUUUUUUUGUUGUUUUUUGUUUUUUAUCCAUCUGAGACACUGAGACAAGUUCACACUCUAUGAUUUCAUGAUCUCUGUGCCCUUAUUUUGAAAGUUCGAUCACUGCUAAUUAGGGAUGGGUACCGGUAUGGCACCGGUUCUUACAUAAACGGUAGUAACCAGACCGAAAAGCAGCGCACAUAUCGGUGCUUUUUUUUCUUGAGAUGUCAUACACUUUGGAUUCUAGCCAAUCAUUUUACCUUUCCAAGGAUAGUAGGCGGGCCCAGGUAUGUACGUUCUUUUAGAGCAGAGCUACAGAUUAAAAAUGCCCAAGGCGAAGCGGUCCAAAGUCUGGCUGUACUUCACAGCAAAAAAUGCAAACUCAGCAGCCUGCAACAAGUGCUUUAAGGUGAUACUGUGCAAAGGAGGUAACACCUCGAAUCUGAUGAAACUCCUGGCGACACAUAGCGUUUUUUUAAUAGCCAAGAAAUGCACCGUAUUUGAUAGCUUGCUGCGAGACCUCACACCGAGCACAUCUACUGCGGGUGUGGUGCCUGUUAUCGGACCCAGAGUUAGCAACAUCCCCCAAGAACCCGAAGAGUAGAGUCCUGGCCCCCGUUCGGCUGUUUUUCCUGACAGAUUCUAGUCCUGAAGUCAGGACGAGAAACUCCAACUCCAGCUUCUUGGACUGCAGAUAGUUGAUGUUAGCUGGGUAUCAUGAACCAUUUUUUUUUUAAAAUUUAAAAUAAGAUUGCAGACAUACCAGAGUGCCAAAACACACAGCCAAAAAUACUAAAUGUGUGGGAAAAACUUCAUUGCAUUAGAUUCAUGUUUUAUAUUCUAAGACUGUUUGUUAUUGCACUUGUAUUUGCUUUUGUACAUGUAUAUCCAUGCUGUGGCACUAAACCUCACUGUACAGUAUGAUGACGUUUGACAGUGGAACGUGACUAACUCUUACUGAAGCACUUACAGUUUUGUUGACCUUGAACGUUGAAAUAAAUAAAUGAAUGCAGCCUC
ensembl:lncRNA